rnacentral:rRNA from 1 species
GAUGAACGCUGGCGGCGUGCCUAAUACAUGCAAGUCGAGCGAACGGACGAGAAGCUUGCUUCUCUGAUGUUAGCGGCGGACGGGUGAGUAACACGUGGAUAACCUACCUAUAAGACUGGGAUAACUUCGGGAAACCGGAGCUAAUACCGGAUGAUAUUUUGAACCGCAUGGUUCAAAAGUGAAAGACGGUCUUGCUGUCACUUAUAGAUGGAUCCGCGCUGCAUUAGCUAGUUGGUAAGGUAACGGCUUACCAAGGCAACGAUGCAUAGCCGACCUGAGAGGGUGAUCGGCCACACUGGAACUGAGACACGGUCCAGACUCCUACGGGAGGCAGCAGUAGGGAAUCUUCCGCAAUGGGCGAAAGCCUGACGGAGCAACGCCGCGUGAGUGAUGAAGGUCUUCGGAUCGUAAAACUCUGUUAUUAGGGAAGAACAUAUGUGUAAGUAACUGUGCACAUCUUGACGGUACCUAAUCAGAAAGCCACGGCUAACUACGUGCCAGCAGCCGCGGUAAUACGUAGGUGGCAAGCGUUAUCCGGAAUUAUUGGGCGUAAAGCGCGCGUAGGCGGUUUUUUAAGUCUGAUGUGAAAGCCCACGGCUCAACCGUGGAGGGUCAUUGGAAACUGGAAAACUUGAGUGCAGAAGAGGAAAGUGGAAUUCCAUGUGUAGCGGUGAAAUGCGCAGAGAUAUGGAGGGACACCAGUGGCGAAGGCGACUUUCUGGUCUGUAACUGACGCUGAUGUGCGAAAGCGUGGGGAUCAAACAGGAUUAGAUACCCUGGUAGUCCACGCCGUAAACGAUGAGUGCUAAGUGUUAGGGGGUUUCCGCCCCUUAGUGCUGCAGCUAACGCAUUAAGCACUCCGCCUGGGGAGUACGACCGCAAGGUUGAAACUCAAAGGAAUUGACGGGGACCCGCACAAGCGGUGGAGCAUGUGGUUUAAUUCGAAGCAACGCGAAGGACCUUACCAAAUCUUGACAUCCUUUGACAACUCUAGAGAUAGAGCCUUCCCCUUCGGGGGACAAAGUGACAGGUGGUGCAUGGUUGUCGUCAGCUCGUGUCGUGAGAUGUUGGGUUAAGUCCCGCAACGAGCGCAACCCUUAAGCUUAGUUGCCAUCAUUAAGUUGGGCACUCUAAGUUGACUGCCGGUGACAAACCGGAGGAAGGUGGGGAUGACGUCAAAUCAUCAUGCCCCUUAUGAUUUGGGCUACACACGUGCUACAAUGGACAAUACAAAGGGCAGCGAAACCGCGAGGUCAAGCAAAUCCCAUAAAGUUGUUCUCAGUUCGGAUUGUAGUCUGCAACUCGACUACAUGAAGCUGGAAUCGCUAGUAAUCGUAGAUCAGCAUGCUACGGUGAAUACGUUCCCGGGUCU